rnacentral:rRNA from 1 species
ACAUGCAAGUCGAGCGAAUGAAAUUCCUUCGGGAACGGAUUUAGCGGCGGACGGGUGAGUAACACGUGGGCAACCUGCCUCAUAGAGGGGAAUAGCCUUCCGAAAGGGAGAUUAAUACCGCAUAAGAUUGUAGUACCGCAUGGUACAGCAAUUAAAGGAGCAAUCCGCUAUGAGAUGGGCCCGCGGCGCAUUAGCUAGUUGGUGAGGUAACGGCUCACCAAGGCGACGAUGCGUAGCCGACCUGAGAGGGUGAUCGGCCACAUUGGGACUGAGACACGGCCCAGACUCCUACGGGAGGCAGCAGUGGGGAAUAUUGCACAAUGGGGGAAACCCUGAUGCAGCAACGCCGCGUGAGUGAUGACGGCCUUCGGGUUGUAAAGCUCUGUCUUCAGGGACGAUAAUGACGGUACCUGAGGAGGAAGCCACGGCUAACUACGUGCCAGCAGCCGCGGUAAUACGUAGGUGGCGAGCGUUGUCCGGAUUUACUGGGCGUAAAGGGUACGUAGGCGGGCCUGCAAGUCUGAUUUGAAAGCACACGGCUUAACCGUGUGAGGUAAUUAGAAACUACAGGUCUAGAGAGUGGUAGAGGUAAAUGGAAUUCCAAGUGGAGCGGUGAAAUGCGUAGAGAUUUGGAGGAACACCAGUGGCGAAGGCGGUUUACUGAGCCACAUCUGACGCUGAUGUACGAAAGCGUGGGGAGCAAACAGGAUUAGAUACCCUGGUAGUCCACGCCGUAAACGGAUGGGUGCUAAGUAUCGGUAGAUUACGGUGCUUAAGCUAACGCAGUAAGCACUCCGCCUGGGGGAGUACGGUCGCAAGACUGGAACUCAAAGGAAUUGACGGGGGACUCGCACAAGCGGUGGAGCAUGCGGUUUAAUUCGAUGCAACGCGAAGAACCUUACCAGGUCUUGACA